rnacentral:rRNA from 1 species
GACAAACAUUAAGCCAUAAGCGAAAGCUUGACUUAGCCAGGGUUAAGAGGGCCGGUAAAACUCGUGCCAGCAACCGCGGUUAUACGAGGGGCCCAAAUUGAUAAAUCACGGCGUAAAGUGUGAUUAGAGACAAAACCGAACUAGAACCAAAUACCCCUUAUGCAGUCAUACGCCAUGGGGGUCACGAAGACCAACAACGAAGGUGGUUCUACAAAACUUGAACUCACGACAGCUAGGACACAAACUGGGAUUAGAUACCCCACUAUGCCUUACCUUAAACCAAGAUGACAAGACUACAAACCACAUCCGCCAGGGAACUACGAGCCCCCGCUUAAAACCCAAGGGACUUGGCGGUGCCUCAAACCCACCUAGAGGAGCCUGUCCUAUAACCGAUAAUCCCCGUUAAACCUCACCCCUCCUUGUUAAUUCCGCCUAUAUACCGCCGUCGCCAGUUUACCUUUUGAAAGAACAAAAGUAAGCAAAACGGGCAUCACCCAACACGUCAGGUCGAGGUGUAGCGAAUGGAGGGGGAAGAGAUGGGCUACAUUUUCUGACAACAGAACACUACGGAGAGUGCAAUGAAAAAUGCACGGACGAAGGUGGAUUUAGCAGUAAAAGGAAAGGAGAGAGUUCUUUUGAAACCGGCCCUGAGGCGCGUACACACCGCCCGUCACUCUCCUCGAAAAGCAAGACGACAGUAAAUAAAAAAAUAGAAAAGAGAGAGGAGGCAA